GCCCUCUGACUUUUAACAGCCGCGGUAUCCUAACCGUGCUAAGGUAGCAUAAUCACUUGCCUAUUAAUUAUAGGCUAGAAUGAACGGGAUCACUCACUUAAACUUAUUUUUAUUUAAAUUUAAAUUAAACUUUAAGUCAAAAUACUAAAUUAAAAAGAAAGACAAAAAGACCCUGAAAACUAUUAGAAAUAAUUAGUUGGGGCAACUAUAGACCACUCUAGCGUCUAUUUUUUUUUAAACUCUUAAAAUCUAAAGUAUCCAGUUACUUCAGGGAUAACAGACUAAUUUUAUUAUUUAGACCCAAUAAAUAAUAAAGAUUGGCACCUCGAUGUUGGCUUAUAUUUCCUUCAUAUAGCAACAUAUAUAGAAGGCAGCUGUUCAUC
rnacentral:rRNA from 1 species